AAAAUACUCCCUCCGUCCGGAAAUACUUGUCAUCAAAAUGGAUAAAAGGAAAUGUAUCUAGACGUAUUUUAGUUUUAGAUACAUCUCUUUUUAUACAUUUUGAUGACAAGUAUUUUCGGACGGAGGGAGUAGAAA
rnacentral:pre_miRNA from 1 species